UCUGCUCGGAUAUGACUGGACACUGAGCCCUGGAGAGGGUUCCCACAGAGUGAUAUUCUUGGAAGUCUUGGAGUGAGUCUGAGCUGAACACGAGAGGCAAAUAAACUGAAUAACUGAACAUGAGAGGCAAAUAAAUCCCAUAAUCUGGCAUUAGAGGAUGGGCAGUUUCAAGUGCGCGCCACUCAUGCACCACGAUUCACACUUCUCCUGCCUCAACAGACGCAUCAGCAGAAGAGGUCUGGGCAGUAGAUCCCAUCCAAGGAGGUGACACUCGGGAUACCCUUUCUACCUCCUGCCAAAGCAGCUGAGGAGCUCUUAUUACAAAGCAGGCAACACUAACAGGUUCUGCAUGUUAAUGCUUGUUAAUGACACUGGAAUCAGGCUCGACUUCCCAGGAAGUGCUGGUGUGCUGGUGAGGCUACACUUGGGAGCCCGGUAAGUGGAACUCAGAGCACGCACAGUUGUGUCAGACAAGUUGAACAUGAGCCAACAGUACACCAUUGCAGCAAAGCCACCAACUCAUCCUCGGCUACACUGUGCUGCUAACAGCUCAAGGGAGUUGAUCCUUCCCUUCUACUCAGCUCUGAGAAGAAACAUCUGGAGUGCUGCUCGAGCUCAUGGCUACACAGCACAAGAGAAACAUGAACAUAGAAGAUCCCUUUGGAAGAUGAGACCAGGGUGAACUUCACUGGGACAAGAAGCAAAGCACAGCAGAGAUAAAUGGGAGGAGGCAGGCUGGAAGCCAUCUCUGGAUACAGACUGUGCUGCGCAGCAAUGCAGUGUCGUCAAGGUGCACAUUCCCCAUGGAGGAGAAAGGAUUCAGUCGUGCUGAAAAUAGAUGCUUCUUGAGACAGCGAUCAGACAGCUGCUCCCUUUCUGCCAGGGCCUAAGAUGUGUAUUUUGUUCUCAUCCCAGCAGUUAACUGAGAGAUUAGGAGUGAGAAGGCACUUUUUAGCCAGGCUGGGGAGGGCAAGGAGAAGUUUCUGCAGGUGCUGUGUGUUGGCCACUGGGAACCUCCCCCUGCUGCCUGUCCAGACUUACCAAGCUCAUGAACUGGAAACACAAGUAUGGCCUGUAGUGGAGGUUUUUCAGUAGAAAAAUGAAUGUUUCUUUGCAGUUUUUACCCCUGGGAGCUACUCUCAGGCUUUGUGCUCUGUGAUUCCCUGAGACAGACAGCCCGACAAGGUGGUCCCUCUCUCUGGCUGGGAGAGUGUCCAGGUGUCCCCUUUGGGUGGGAGAGUGUCCAGGUGUCCCCUCUGGCUGGGAGAGUGUCCAGGUGUCCCCUUUCGGUGGGAGAGUGUCCAGGUGUCCCCUCUGGCUGGGAGAGUGUCCACGUGUCCCCUCUGGCUGGGAGAGUGUCCAGGUGGCCAAUCCUGUGCAGCUGAAGCUGUGGCCAUCAGUGAAAUCUUUGGUUUCAAAGCGUAUCCCUCCAGAACACCAAAUCCAUAAUACCGCUUCUCAUGAACAACAGCUGAAAUGCCCUCAGCAGCAGCAGCAGCAGGCUUUGGUUGCUUUCAGUCCUUGAAGAGCAGCAUGACCUGCAGGCAGAGUCAGAGACCUGUGGAACUCAUUGGGGCAGCAAAAUGCAUCUCAUCACAUCAGGAAGGAGCUCCACCAGGUGAGGAGCAGCAGGGCAGGCAGAGUACAGGAGAAUCUUCUCAUUACUACAGGCUGGACAUAUUCUCAGUGGUAACUGUAUGCUGAUAAGCAUUUAUCUAUGUCCAUCACAGGAAUUUAGGGGUGUGCUUCAAGCAUUUUUUUUUAUUCUGAGUUGCCAGGCAUGAGUUUUCAGAAAUAUGUGUAUGAUACAGCACUGUCAUCACUUCUCUGGGUUAUUUCUGACAUUAGUAUCACAUAGAAGGAAAUAAGAUUGCAUGAUGUCCCUGCCCAUGUCAGGGAGAUUGGAUUAGGUGAGAUUUAAAGGCCUCUUGAACCCAAACCCUCCUGUGAUCUGUGUGACUCUCUGGAUGGAUGUACUGGGUGAGUCUGAAGGAACAGGCAGACUCUCACACCCGAGACAUUUAUCAUCAUCCCACUCUCCCCAGACACCCAGCCUCUGCAUGACAUCCCACCCAGGUGCUGAAGCCUUCUAGAGGACAAACCACCUCAAGAUGAUGAAAAAUGUCAUCAGAAUGGAGCAAAAAUCAAGUAACUUACACAUGGGAAGCUGUACUGAAAACAACAACGUGUGUCCCUGCCAGCAAUAGGAGACAGAAGCACAUUCCUACCAUCUCUAUAUGAAGCCUAAGAAACCUUUGGCCUUCUCAGGUCUCUGUGACCUAUUUGUUCCCUCACGUGGAGCCUGUAAUGGUCAUGGGAUAGUGCAGAUAUCCUCCUCAGCAGGGAUCCCCUUGCACACCCUGCUAGGGAGCCCUGGGAGGUUGGACAGAGCUCAGAGAUGCUCAGCUUCUGCUGCAGUAGGAAACCUCCUGCUGUGGGUCGAGGGCCUGGAGAGCAGGCUCAGACACAGACAGCAGUGUCUUCUUGUGCCUGGGGACAGGUCACUGCAGCUCCUCCUCAGGUGACUGGGGUCCCUGAUGUCCUGAAAGAAACUGAGAUGUGCUCAGGGCCAUGGGGGGCACCAGGAAUGAGCAGGAUCUGCAUGGAUGUGCUGCUCCUCUGAGCACACAUUACAGCUAAGGUGAAAGGAAGUCAGUCCUGCAUGUGGUGGGUCACCACUGGUGAUUACUCUGCCCUACUUCAACCGAAUCAGCUUGCUGGGGGACUGGUGCCCAGACCCUGCUAAACUGUGGAAGAUAUUCCAUGAAGUACAAUCUGCAUACCUCUGUUGAUUGUUUACACACACAUUUGGUGUGUUAUCAACUGUCUCUUAAGGCCAUGUCGCACAGGGAACAGACCUGGUGACAAGCAGCUGUGCUUGGCCACGCUUCUCAAGCUGGGUUCCUCUCAAUGACAUCAGCUGGGACUCAAGAGUGGCACAGCCCAGCUCACAGAGCAGUGGGGAGAGAGAUAAAACAGCAAACUUUCCUUUGGGGCUGAAAACUCUCCGUUGAGUAUCAGAGUUGUGCCAUUAAUCAGACUCCUCAUGUUCCCAGCAAACACCAGCGGAAGAGCUGGCCGGGGAGGUGACAUUCAGGAUGUCCUUUCUGUCACCCACCACGGCAGCUGAGGAGCUCCUGUUACAGAGCAGGGGAUUGGGGUGGGCAGGCUAAGACGCCUCCGGGUAAGAAAAGUCAAAAGAUGGCAAGUGGCAAAAGGGGGAGGGAAGGAGAACUAGGAUUAGGUGCAUAAUAUUAGCACAAGCAGCAACUGUAUCCUAAAAAAGACAGGGAUGAGGUGGUAUCUUCCUUGGUUGGCAUUCAUUUGGGACAGAUGCACAAAUCCUACUUCUGGGCAGAUUUCAGUGCUGUAAAUGGAAAUAAGCCAGUAUGGAAUUUCUAUAAAUCUGCUCACUUUCAAAAUUAAGUUUUUCAAAACUAAGACAACCCAGUGGAUUGCCACAGAAUUUUCUGAGUGGCACUCACUGUAGUGAAGUAGCCAACAGGAUACACAGCAGAAUUAUCUAGUGACAUUUCUGAACUAACUUGUUCCUGCAGAAAAGUUCAUGUGCAUCCCUAGGAAAUUUAUCAACGGUUUCAUUAUUUUAUAUUGGAAGACAGAUUCCCUUGUGGGUCAGGCUAAACAUGUCUUUAAUUGCCCUCUGCAUUCAUCUCCUGUGCCAGGGGAGGAAUACUAGUCCCUGCUGCUCCUGAAGGGCAAAUCAGUUGUGCAAAGCAGAACAGCUCCAGGUUUUUUUCUUUGGAUGAUCCUACAUAAAACAUACGCCACAGGGUGGGCUCAAAAAAGAGUGACAAGUCCUGUGGGGUGGGUCACAGCAGCAGCAGCUCAAAACUUGCACCACACUGCACCACCCCCAUCCAUUUUCCCUCUGUUUGGGAUAAAAGCAGCUCCUGCGGCUGCUGGACCCCAGCCCGAGCUACCUGCCCUGCCUAGGGAGCUGACCAUGCUGGGGGCUUCCAGGCUCCACCUGCGAUUAGCCCCUGAAUUUUCAGCCCUCUGGGAAGGUCUGGAUUUUCAUUCUGUCCUCCCAGUACAGCCUGUGUUCCCAGGUUUGCGAAAUCCUGCCCGGGGGUUUGUUCUCUGCAGUGCAGACAGCUCUGCUCGGCACUGUGCCUGGCCAGGAGUGACAAGCCUCGUACCUUCUCAGCAGCAAUGGAACAACAGAAUAAAUACUGCAAACGGUUUCUUCAGAACUAAAAUUAGGCUUUAAAAAGAAUUUCAGAGGUGGGGUAUGAGUUAAGCAUUUACAGAUUAUCGCUGUAGUGUUUCCCAGCAGCUCCCCUCGGAUUUCUCCUCCAGACCUGUUUGGAGUUGCCAUUUCUUUCACCUCCCCCCAUUCUCUACUGUCUUAUCACUUCUCUUCCUCGCACACAUCCAUCUUGCUGUCCUCCUCCCAGACCCUUUAUAAACUCCCCAGCACCAUUUCAACCCCACCUCAGUCCUGUGGUUACUAUUCCACACUCUCUUACCAAUUUUUUUUUCUGCAACAAGAGUAGAAGUAUAUCAAGUUUAGCUUCUCACACCUAAUGCAUUGGGGCCCAGCUCUAUAUGAUCCAAACACGUUCAACAGGCUGCUCCUGCUCCACUUGGCUAAGAGAAGGGACUACAGUGCUGCUGUUCCUGGAGCAAGCCCUGCCUCUGCUUUCUUCAUCAGGGAAGGGAUUCAUCAACUGGGGCCCCUUGCUGAUCUACAAAGCAAAAGAUGGUCCUCUGAGUCCAUGGGCAUUGCAUUAAUUUGUCGGUUAAAAGGAGAGGGGAUGCCCCAUCCACCCCAAGGAGCCCUGACUGACUGCUGGAAGUGCCUGGGCAGCUGCGGGUUGCCUAUGGGACAGCACAUCCCAGCAGGGAAUGGCCACUGUCAUGGUGCUGGGCCCCAUUCUGGUGUUUAACCUUUCAGCUGGCAAUGGAGCUGUGCUGCAGCGAGUGUCUCUGGGGUAAGAAUAGCAGCUGCUGCCUUGGGACACAGCAGCCGUGUCCAGCUCCUCCACGGCAGCACGUUGCACUGCGACAUAGAAGGCAGCCUACCCGCCCAGGAAUGUCUUCAGGCGCUAUUAGUGGAAGCAAAUCAUCCCCACAAACAGGCACGACCCCGCAGAGGAGUCUGAGGAGAGCGGGGUUAUUUUGGGCUUUUGACAUUGAGGAUGAAAGGAGACACGUGAUGGGCUGAUCCUCCUGGUGCGGGCCUCCUCCAGAGCUGCUGUCAGCCUUGUCCCCUCCUCCAGCAGUGGCUCUUGUGAAGGCUGAGGGGCAGUUUGGUGUGGCCUUGGAGCACAGGAGGUGAGGGCAGAAGGAGCUGUGAGUUUGCUGGGGUGCAGGGCCAGCCCUGAGUGCCAUCAGCAGUGCCCAGCUGCGCUCAGGGCAGGUCCUUCCUGAGGUGUGAACCUGUCCCUGAACUCAGGGCAUGGGGCCUGUUUUCUUCUCAACCACGCCCAUGAGAGUGAGAGGAGAUGCCAGAGACUGUUGUAAGGGUCCAAACAACUUGCUGACAGUGUACAUUGAAACACAAAUCCUUUGCAUCCAGGAGAGUAUUUAUUUCUUUGCACCUGAAACUCUCCAUUUCUGAGUGGUUCUUCAGCACCAGAAAUGUCUGAGAGUCCUGUUUUCCUCUUUCCAGCCAUCAUAAAUUCCCUCCCCAACUUAUUCCCAUCCUUUUAACAUCCUCUUUCUGGUGUGGAUUUCUUUCUUCCCACUUUGGCUAUGUCUCACCUGUUUCCGUUUAAUUUACCUUGCCUUGUGAAAAGUUGCAGAUUAAACUGUCAGAGGAAAAACCACCACUUUCCCAGGAGAGUUUUCUGGCUGGCUCAGCCAGCCAAGCUGGUCUCCCUUGUGACUCCAGAUUGAGCUCGACUGAUGCACAAUGUGUUAGCAGGCAGGAACAAGUGGUCAGGGGACCGAGGGUGUAUCAGGUGGCUUAUAAAGUGCUGCCACCAAACGCAAUCCCACACCUUUGGGGGUCAGUCUCAUGCUAGCUCCUGGAAGGAGGCCACUUGGCACAGUCACAGCCUUUUAAGCCAUUUCCGUGCGCAUCCAGCACUGCUGCAGACAAAUAUCAGCUCAGCCAGCAGACAAGAGCCACAAGUCCUCAUUCAUGGUCAAGUCAUUUUUCCAGCAGCUUAAUAAGUCACCCUCCUAUGUCUGGCUUUGCCAGCACCUCUGUGCUUGUCGAGCAUCCCCUGUGUGUGUCAGAACACAGUGCAAUGGGCGUGGGCACUGUGCACAGUCCAGCUGUGGCUGCUCACUUCAAGGUCAGGCUGGUGAUAGCG